AAUUUCAUACCAACAUUAGCCAUAAUUUAUACAAAAAAAAAAAUGGGUGAUCUAACAAACUACAAUCAAUUCACAUAAUUGGACCACUGAUAUCAUACCAUUUUUUGAUAAAAAUAAUACACAACUUAAGUCAGCUUUCAUACCAACAAUAAAUCAAUUUCAUACCAAUGUUAAAACACAUUUCAUACCAUAUUCAUAAAUCGUAUAUUAAGUCAGCUUUCAUACCAAUAUUAUUCAUGUUUCAUGCCAUAUUAGUAGACAUAAUGAGAAUAAUUUGAAAAAAA
rnacentral:lncRNA from 1 species